UUAUACCGCGAAACUGCGAAUGGCUCAUUAUAUAAGUUAUCGUUUAUUUGAUAGCACGUUACUACUUGGAUAACCGUGGUAAUUCUAGAGCUAAUACAUGCUAAAAACCCCGACUUCGGAAGGGGUGUAUUUAUUAGAUUAAAAGCCAACGCCCUUCGGGGCUCUGUGGUGAUUCAUGAUAACUUUUCGAAUCGCAUGGCCUUGCGCCGGCGAUGGUUCAUUCAAAUUUCUUCCCUAUCAACUUUCGAUGCGAGGGUCUUGUCCUCGCAUGGUUGCAACGGGUAACGGAGGGUUAGGGCUCGACCCCGGAGAAGGAGCCUGAGAAACGGCUACUACAUCCAAGGAAGGCAGCAGGCGCGCAAAUUACCCAAUCCCGACACGGGGAGGUAGUGACAAUAAAUACUGAUACAGGGCUCUUUAGGGUCUUGUAAUCGGAAUGAGUACAAUUUAAAUCCCUUAACGAGGAACAAUUGGAGGGCAAGUCUGGUGCCAGCAGCCGCGGUAAUUCCAGCUCCAAUAGCGUAUAUUAAAGUUGUUGUGGUUAAAAAGCUCGUAGUCGAACCUUGGGCCUGGCCGGCCGGUCCCCCUCACCGGGUGCACUGAUCCGGCCGGGCCUUUCCCUCUGUGGAACCCCAUGGCCUUCACUGGCUGUGCGGGGGAAACAGGACUUUUACUGUGAAAAAAUUAGAGUGCUCCAGGCAGGCCUAUGCUCGAAUACAUUAGCAUGGAAUAAUAGAAUAGGACGCGUGGUUCUAUUUUGUUGGUUUCUAGGACCGCCGUAAUGAUUAAUAGGGACAGUCGGGGGCAUCAGUAUUCAAUUGUCAGAGGUGAAAUUCUUGGAUCUAUUGAAGACUAACUACUGCGAAAGCAUUUGCCAAGGAUGUUUUCAUUGAUAAGGAACGAAAGUUAGGGGAUCGAAGACGAUCAGAUACCGUCGUAGUCUUAACUAUAAACUAUGCCGACUAGGGAUCGGACGAUGUUAUUUCUUGACGCGUUCGGCACCUUUCGAGAAAUCAAAGUGCUUGGGCUCC
rnacentral:rRNA from 1 species